GAUUUGUAAAAACUUGGAGUUAUUUCCAGCAGAAAUGUCUCGCCUCUCUACUUUACAAACACUAGAACUCUUUGGAGCUCCACUUCUAGAGGACAAAUGCAAGAGAGAAACAGGAGCAGAGUGGCUAAAAAUUGCUCACAUCCCAAAUAUAUUGAUCGAUGGCUUUCGAAUCUAAAUCUCCAUUGCAUACAUCUAAAGGUAACCUUUUUUUCCAAGAGAAGAAGGCCUCGCAGAGCAUGCUCUGCUCACUGAAAGUUUAAGACGAGGUCAAAAUGGCUAUGUUCAGGUUGAUCCUGUGAGUUAUGUUUACUGCAUUUUAAGUAAGCUGCUUUCUUAUUGAGUUGAAAUAUGAAAAAGAUAACAUGCAUAUACUUACGAUGAAAUCCUAUUU